CCUACGGGAGGCAGCAGUAGGGAAUCUUCCACAAUGGGCGAAAGCCUGAUGGAGCAACGCCGCGUGGGUGAAGAAGGUCUUCGGAUCGUAAAACCCUGUUGUUAGAGAAGAAAGUGCGUGUGAGUAACUGUUCACGUUUCGUCGGUAUCUAACCAGAAAGCCAUGGCUCACUACGUGCCAGCAGCCGCGGUCAUACGAUGGUGGCAAGCGUUAUACGGAAUUGUUGGGCGUAAAGGGAACGCAGGCGGCCUUUUAAGUCUGAUGGUAAAGCCUUCGGCUUAACCGGAGUAGUGCAUUGGAAACUGGGAGACUUGAGUGCGGAAGAGGCGAGUGGAACUCCAUGUGUAGCGGUGAAAUGCGUAGAUAUAUGGAAGAACACCAGUGGCGAAAGCGGCUCUCUGGUCUGUAACUGACGCUGAAGUUCGAAAGCGUGGGUAGCAAACAGGAUUAGAUACCGUGGUAGUC
rnacentral:rRNA from 1 species